UUUCCUUAGGUACAUUUGCAAAGAAUUUUUACAUAAAGAUCCGUAGUCUUAAUAAUAACAAACGAGAUUAUCGCGAGGCUACCUCGAGUAGUAAUUCAAUCAGACUUUCGAGGGCUGCAACAGCUACGCGCUUUAAAGGGCGCGGUACACGACACCGUUUGCCUAACUAUAUAAACUCCAAAACUUGCCCCAUCGUUACGAAUAUCUGUGGCUAAGAGGCGAACUGUAUUAAAUCAAAAUUUUUGAAACUUUGGACAAAUAGAAAGGCAUCCGAAAGACAAGCAACCUGCCCCUCUCCCCAGCCCCGUGAGAUGGAGAGAACAUACAAAAGUCCAACAAUCUGGAACCUAUUUCCUCUUAUCUUGGCGUGUUCACGCCUCUAGCAGUAUCUUGGACGACUACCCCUUUAUCGAACACGAUGAAACAACCAACUAUCGUUUAAUUCGAAAGAGUAUCAAGUCUCACAUGGCCUCCACUAUACUCAUCCGUUUGUUGUAAAGAUUUCCUCGACACCAAACAUUUCCCCGAGCAAUCGCGGAACGGAGCACCGGAAAGCACGUCAAGUUACAUUCGGUCAAGAUUCGAAGCAUCAGGUUGUAGUCACGUUCACCCCCUCUCUCCCUCUCGCUCUAUCCUAGGAACCUGCGUGGUGGUUCGUCGCGCCUCUCCAACGAAAACGCCAACAGACCGAGUUUCG